CAUCCCGUGCUAACGCUGAAUGAGGAUCUGCUGUACCACUCCGAUACCGCGAGCUCAACAAAUGCUUCAUUUUUUCCGACUAAACAAUAACACUAUUACAAUGUCACGUGCUUGCAAUUCUCCCUCCAAGUAUCCAAGAAGCUUCAACAGAUCCGUUUUACUCAACUCCAUUUUGGGAUUUCUCUAAAAAAUAAAAUUGUUAAAUAUUAUUAAAUAAAUAGACAAUACCUGAGAAAUUUCAUCAAGAUACAAUUGUAAAUAUUUUUAAACACUUUGAGAUAAACCAUUGCUUGUAUUUCACGGUCGUUAAUUAUCUCUGACAU